UGGGGAAUUUUACACAAUGGGCGAAAGCCUGAUGUAGCAACGCCGCGUGGAGGAUGAAGGAUUUAGGUUCGUAAACUCCUUUUAUAGGGGAAGAAAUUUGACGGUACCCUAUGAAUAAGCAUCGGCUAACUCCGUGCCAGCAGCCGCGGUAAUACGUAUGGGGCUAGCGUUGUUCGGAAUUAUUGGGCGUAAAGGGCGUCUAGGCGGGGGAUUAAGUUAGGUGUGAAAUCCCUGGGCUCAACCCAGGAACUGCAUCUAAAACUGGUUCUCUUGAGUUCGGGAGAGGAGAGCGGAAUUCCCGGUGUAGCGGUGAAAUGCGUAGAUAUCGGGAAGAACACCAGUGGCGAAGGCGGCUCUCUGGCCUAGGACUGACGCUGAAGCGCGAAAGCGUGGGGAGCGAACA
rnacentral:rRNA from 1 species